rnacentral:rRNA from 1 species
GUCUAUGGCCAUGCUACCCUGAACAAGCCCAAUCCCAUCUGAUCUCGGAAGCUAAGCAGGGUCGGGCCUGGUUAAUACUUGGAUGGGAGACCACCUAGGAAGACCAGGUACCAUAGGUU